GAACUUUUAUUUUCCUCUCUAUCAUUGGUGGCCUGUGCGGCCGCCCUCUUCCUAAACAAGCACUCCCAGAGAGAGGCGGGGCUCAUAGAGCAUUGCUAAGCGACAAAGAGGCGCUCCGGGUCUGUCCAGUGAAAGAGCAGAGCGGGCGCAGGAGCUGUUGUGGCUGCCGGAUGGACCGCAGGUAGAGUCCAGUGAAUCACGGGGAUUGUAGUCCAUCAAUACUUUUCCCUAGCACCCCAGCACCACGACCACCCCGGAUUUGUAGGUCUUGAUCCUAUCCAGCUCCCGGAGCUCCAGGCUCCCACAAGCUUCCAACAUGUCAUCUAGUUCCUCUGAGCUGUUUGAGGAGUCUUGGCCUUCGAGUUCAGAGACCUCAUCCCCACCCAGCACCACUGAGGGACAAAUGGGGCCCUCCUCAUCACCCACCCUGAUUGACAGCGGGGAGUCUGUGGUGGCCAAGUAUAUAAAUAGGUUCCGCCAAGCUCAGCCCACAAGCCGAGAGGAACGACAGUGUGCAGGCCCAAUCCCAGCUGAUUUUUGGUGGCUGCAGACUGAGUCUUCAAACCCCAGCAGUCAACUUGCAGCAGGACCCAGUAAACCAGAGGGAAGACCCAGUCCAGCAGUCCCAGCUCCAGCCAAGAUUGUCAGCACAUCCCAGGCAGUGGCUCCCCUUCAGAAAAUAAAGCAGAGCCUGAACACGUGGAACUCAUCCCUGCUGGACCUGGAGACACUGAGCCUACAAAGCAGAGCUGCCACGCUGCUCAAACGCAGCAAGGCCUCCAUCUCUUCCUCAUCCCUCAGCCCCAGCGAUGCCAGCUGCUCCUCCUUCCCUGUCAGCUCCAAUGGCCUGUCUCCCUUCUCCAUGACCUUCAGCCCUGAGUCCCACAAGGACUCUGGGCCCAGAGCAGCUGCAGGCCCAGCGCCAGCCCAAGGCCCCACCCCUGCUCCAGCCCCAGCCUCCUCCCCAGCUCCCCUUCGGCCAGAGGAUGACAUUUUGUACCAGUGGCGGCAGCGUCGGAAGCUCGAACAGGCUCGAGGACGGGUGCAGCAGGGUGAUGGACCCUGCGUGCUGCCGCGGACCCCCGCGCUUGCCACCCAGCCUUCCGCCCCCGCGGUGACUCUUGGUUCCCCGGCGACCCAGCCUACCUGCGUCCCGCUGUGGGGCAGUGUGGCCCAGCCUGGUCCUCCAGAGGCCUUCUACGUGGAGAGACCUCCUGUUGGCCUAGGGUCCUCACCGCACAUCUUCUGGGCACCCAGCACCCACGGGUUCUUCUGGGCCCCACAGUCCAGCCCCUGGGUAUCUCUCGGGACCGUUCCUCCGCCACCGUUGGCCUCCACCCCGGUUCCCUCGGCUCCCCCGGCUCCCCCCACCUCCAUCCCGGCUCCCCCGGCCUCCUCCAUCCCAGCUCCCGCCACCACCAAUCCCACAUCCCCUGCCACCCACCAGAGCCCACCUAUCCCCGAGCCAGGCGUCUCUGCCCAGCCAGAGAAGGUGGGACCCAAGCCUCGGAAGGCCAGAGCUUCGCGCCCGGAGGCUGCGGGCGGAAUGACAGCCUCCAGCGAGGGGCCAGGCGCACAGCUCAGGGGCGCCCUGGGCCAGGUGGUGACCGCGCGGCUGUUCCCUGAAGGCCUGGAGGACACGCCCCCUCCCCUUGAGGGUGGCCCUUCGGGAGUCAAGGUCACGCCCCCCAGUGGAAGGGCCACGCCCCCUCCCUCGGAUUGCGCUAGUAGGUCUAAGGCUGGGAUAAGCCAGGCGAAGGCCACGCCCUCCCCGGAGGAGUCGGGGCUUCCAAAAGGCACCGGGGAAGCUGGGUCCCUGCCCCGCGGUGUCCUAACCUCUCCAACUGAGGUGUCCACACUCCCCGAGGCCCAGUCGCCCGGGCUGGAGUCGUGGUCUCUUGAGGCUGCGGCCCCACCCUCGCCCGAGGCUCACCGCUCCUCAUCCCCAUCCGAGGACCUGUUCUCCCAGGCCGCCAGACUUCUGGAAGCUGCAGAAGACUCCGACGGCAGCGAGUUUCAGGACGACCCUGUACUGCAGGUGCUUAGAGCCCAGAGGGCAGAUCUGCGGCUACAGAAAAGGAAAGUAGACGCACAA
ensembl:lincRNA